GGGACCUCAGGAGAUCAUCUAGUGAGUCCAACCCCCUGCUCAAAGCAGAACCAAUCCCCCAACAGAUUUUUUUUACCUCAGUCCCUAAAUGGACCUCUCAAGGACUAAACU